UGGCUGUAAUACUUCCUAUUGCCAGCUCUGC
rnacentral:piRNA from 1 species